rnacentral:lncRNA from 1 species
UAGGAGAUGGUGAAUAAUAUGGUGGUGGUGGUGGAGAACUGUAAACUGGUGGUGGAGGAGAUUUGUACUCAACCUUUGGCGAUGGUGAAUAUGAUGGUAGUGGUGGCAAGCUAUACGAUAAUGGCGCUGGCUCAUAUGCAGCAACCAUUGUUGCCAUGAUGAUAACGCUUAGAGUGCAAAUGAGAUGGGCUGAAGACCCCAUCCUAGAAGAAGAUCUCAUUGUGAUUUUUCUUUUCUCUACCAACGCUUAACUGCGUUGGUUAGUUUUUCUUGUUUUGGUUUGUGUUGUAAGG